GGACUACUCGGGUAUCUAAUCCUGUUCGCUCCCCACGCUUUCGCUCCUCAGCGUCAGUGCCGGCCCAGAGUGCUGCCUUCGCCAUCGGUGUUCCUCCCGAUAUCUGCGCAUUUCACCGCUACACCGGGAAUUCCACACUCCCCUACCGGACUCUAGUCAUAGCAGUCUCGAAUGGCGGCUCCAGGUUGAGCCUGGAGUUUUCACAUCCGACUUGCCAAACCGCCUACGAGCUCUUUACGCCCAAUGAAUCCGGACAACGCUCGCCCCCUACGUAUUACCGCGGCUGCUGGCAC
rnacentral:rRNA from 1 species